rnacentral:rRNA from 1 species
AUUGAACGCUGGCGGCAUGCCUUACACAUGCAAGUUGAACGGCAGCGGACCUUCGGGUGCCGGCGAGUGGCGAACGGGUGAGUAAUGCAUCGGAACGUGCCAUUGAGUGGGGGGAUUACGUAGCGAAAGUUACGCUAAUACCGCAUAUUCUGUGAGCAGGAAAGCAGGGGACCGCAAGGCCUUGCGCUCUUUGAGCGGCCGAUGUCAGAUUAGCUAGUUGGUGAGGUAAAGGCUUACCAAGGCGACGAUCUGUAGCGGGUCUGAGAGGAUGAUCCGCCACACUGGAACUGAGACACGGUCCAGACUCCUACGGGAGGCAGAC